UACGAAGGGGGCUAGCGUUGCUCGGAAUCACUGGGCGUAAAGCGCACGUAGGCGGAUUGUAAGUCAGGGGUGAAAUCCUGGAGCUCAACUCCAGAACUGCCUUUGAUACUGGCGGUACUCUAGUCCGGGGAGAGGUGAGUGGAACUGCGAGUGUAGAGGUGAAAUUCGUAGAUAUUCGCAAGAACACCAGUGGCGAAGGCGGCUCACUGGCCCGGUACUGACGCUGAGGUGCGAAAGCGUGGGGAGCAA
rnacentral:rRNA from 1 species